rnacentral:rRNA from 1 species
GGUUAAAAAGCUCGUAGUUGGAUCUCGGCGGGCAGGGGGUGGUUCGCUCUUCAGCGCUACUGCCCCGCUUUGCCCGUGUGAUUGGCGGAGGCUUCGGGGUGCUCUUCGUUGAGUGACUCGGAGCGCCGUCAGGUUUACUUUGAAAAAAUUAGAGUGCUCAAGGCAGGCUUUUCACGCUUGAAUAUUCGUGCAUGGAAUAAUGGAAUAGGAACUCGUUUCUAUUUUGUUGGUUUUCGGAAAUCGAGUUAAUGAUUAACAGGGACAAUUGGGGGCAUUAGUAUUCAGACGACAGAGGUGAAAUUCUUGGACCGUCUGAAGACUGACUACUGCGAAAGCAUUUGCCAAGAGUGUUUUCAUUAAUCAAGAAUGAAAGUUAGAGGUUCGAAGGCGAUCAGAUACCGCCCUAGUUCUAACCAUAAACGAUGCCAGCUAGCGAUCUGCCGAGUUUUUUUUGUAGGCUCCGCAGGAAGCUUUCGGGAAACCAAAGCUUUUGGGUUCCGGGGGAAGUAUGGUUGCAAAGCUGAAACUUAAAGGAAUUGACGGAAGGGCACCACCAGGAGUGGAGCCUGCGGCUUAAUUUGACUCAACACGGGAAAUCUCACCAGGCCCGGACACUGGAAGGAUUGACAGAUUGAGAGCUCUUUCUCGAUUCGGUGGGUGGUGGUGCAUGCCGU